rnacentral:lncRNA from 1 species
UUGAUCAUAGUUACUAACCUGCAUAUAUUGAAUGCCACAUCUGAUCUUGAAACAUAAGCAGCUCGAUCACCAAUUAUUACUUCAGUAACUCACACAUAAAUGCAAGGAGAAAGUGUAGUCACUUUAUCAUACAAUAUCAUACAACUUUAGAGGGAUUGAUGCUUUGAUAUAAACAAUUUACAUGUAGCAAAAUGCCAAGUAUAAAUAGACAUAACAUGUAAGGCAUGAUGAGACUUUUACAACCCAGAUGGCUUUUCUUUAGAACAACAUUCUUAACAUGGGAGGACUUUAGGGUACCCCUCCAAUCCAAGGAUAGAAGAGCUCCACCAAGCGUAGGCCAAGAUCCUCUCAGCAGCCUUAGGUCAACUUGUUCCUCUCCUUCUACCGUUCAGUCUGGUUUUCCCCCCUUAUCUGUCUUUCGGUCCUGUCUUCUACCGUUCGACCCUCUUCUCUUUCUCUCCUAUACCUUUUCCUCCCAUACACUUUUCAGUCCCAACACACUUAAUUAAGCAAAUUAAUGUAUAAAAUUAAACCAAUAAUUAGCAUACAUGGGCAGGAGCUACCAUACAUUUUCGUUUCCAAUAUUUCCUUCCAAAAUCAAAUAGUAUUUCAAUCCAGGAUUAUAAUGUUCAAGACCCAUUAAUGAAUCAGCAACCUUAAUAACUUGCUUGCAUUCUCUGGUUUCAAUCAUUGAAAAGAGAACGAUAUUUUUUUCUUUUCAAUGAUUUAAAACCAGAGAAUGCAAGCAAGUUAUUGUAUUGAGGUUGCUGAUUCAUUAAUGGGUCUUAAACAUUAUAACCCUGCAUUGAAUUACUAUUUGUUACUGUGCCUCCGGCGACCUCCCCCUUCCUUUUGCUGGCUUCGUUUUCUCUGUAGGUGAACGCUGAAUAACUGUAACACGGUGUAUUCCUCUAUUCUCUUGGCUGAAGACUUCCUUUUUUUGUUGUUGCUUUUUCUCGAUGGCCAAUGCUCUCCCAAUCCAGCUGGAUGAUAAUUCCCAAUUCCCCUUUUGUCGUUCCCCUCUCAGCCCUCUUGCUCCACCUUUUUUCAGUAACUUUUUUAUUAAGUGAUUCUGUUACGCAUUUAUUAAAAUUUGUUCGAGAUUACUGUUCAUAUGAAUAGUAACUUAAUAAUAGGAUUCGAUGUUUUGGUUCUUUUCCGUUUUUAUGUCACCGGUAUAUAAGGGAUUCCAGCCUUUGUAAUAAAGAAGAGAAGAAGAGAAUAAAUAAACAACAUUAUUACCUUUUGAACGCGCGUUCUUCGAUUCCUUUCUCUUUUCCGAUCAUUUGCCGCAGUCGUCUGUCACGCCGGAGCUCUUCGUCCCCGUCGUCUUUCGCAUCGGAGCUUCGAUCAGAUUCCCAUGCUUCAUCCUCAUCUCGCUGCUGGCUCGAAGACUUUGGCACUCACCUAACUCUGACUUCAGAAUGUUCGAGUGAGAUAUUUUAUCUCGCCAUUCAUUUUGGGCCUUCUCUCUGCCGAGAACUGGGCCAACACUGUUUCUUUAUUUUUUUCUCUGCCAAUCCAAACCGUAUCUGCAAAAACAAAUCGCGUCCUCACCUGCAGCAGAACCCGUUUUUCUGCCCCUUACCUCCAACAGCACGCGAUCCUGUUGUACCUCCCCAUCAAACAUUUUUCUUUUUUUUUUACUAAAGACAAAACGCCCAUUAAACCCCUCUUUUUUAUAUUAAUUAUAUAAAAGAAAAACAAAAAAUAAAAAGGGAAAAACCAAAAUUAAAAAUUAUAAAAGGAAAAGCAAAAUAAGAUAAAACAAUAAAUAUAAAAUAAAUAAUAAAAAAAGAGCAUAAAAAUAAAAAUAAAAACGAAAAUUAUUAAAAAUAUGUGACAACAAAAAUGCAAUAAAGCAAAAAAUAAUGCAAUAAAAUAAAAAAUCAAUCAGAACGAAAUUUGAUAUUGAAAAGAGAGUUGAUUAGUUAAUAAAUCAAAACUUUAAUUUUAACAAGGAUUAUACAUUACGUUAAAUAUAUGGUAUUUUAUGUUAAUUAGAAAAAUAUAAACUUUUGCUAUUACUUGAUAUUGGUAUAUAUUGUUAAUGUUAUUUUUAACAUCUUUUAUUUUUCAUAUUUAUAUUUGGUUGUAAUAUAUACUUGUAUCAUUUUUGCUUAUGUCUGUUUUAGAUAUAAGGGAAAUUAAUUCUACAUCUAAUUUUAUUAUAUUCAAUAAAUAUAAGACAUUUAUAUGAUUUAUGUUUGGAGGUAAUUAAACCCCGUGAGCUUGAAAGGCUCCCAACAAAGUGACUUUUGAGCUUGAGAGUUGUCUCCAACUUAUGUACUCUUCUUAGUUUCUAUGUUUUGAUGUGAGACUACUUGGGAUUUUUUUNNNNNUUUUUUCCAAUAAUUUUAUGAUUAAUAUAAAUUUUUUUGAAAAUUAGAACUUCUUAUAAAAUUUUAAAUAAUUACUAAAAUACUACAAAUAUAAAAGUUUAUAAUAUAUAUUAAAACAAAUAAUUAAAACAUACAAUUUUUAUUAAAAGACUCUAUAAAUGGGUGUUCAAAGAAACAAAUACAUAUUGAAUAUUAACUUAUCUCAACAUUCAAAUUUAACUUUUGCAAUAAUUUAAAUCUAAAACAAAUAACAUGCCCUUGUUCAAUAUAGAGUUAAAUAUUAACUAAACUAAAAUUUACAUCCAAAAUAGAAUCAAACUCUACUUAGAAAAAAAUCCCAAAACAAGUGUUUCUAGUGGUGCAGAUGCUGCACAAAAAAUUAUUAGGUGGAAUUCUUCAAGCUUGAUGGCAAUAUAAAAACAAAGGUAGAAGAUAAGAAAAGACAUAAUAGAGACUUGUGUUGCUUGCCAUCGGAAACAAAAAUAGACACCACAUUUAGAGGCCAAACAAAUACAUAAUAUGAACUUAAAGAUUAGAUAAAUUAUAAACAAGGAAUACAAGAAUUAAUGUUUUCUUGUAUUUUAAAAGUAAAAAUAUUUCCUAAAACAUUUGAAAAAGGAAUAAAUUGUUUACAUGAAAGCUAAAUCACGGUUUUCUUCCUUCUUAUAAUUAUUAAAAUUAUAAUUAAAAUUAAUUAAAAUUUCAUAUUCUUUAAUUUUCCAAUCUUAAACAUUCCAUAAAUUUUGAAUUGUCCUGAAAGCAACUUUCAUGAUAAAAAAACUACAUAUAGGAGAAGAAUAAAAUAAAAUACAAACAGCAUCACUUCAUCAAUGCAAAGAUAGCUCUUUCAUUUCUCAAAACAUGUUUCGACUUUUAUUAUUCUACUUAGCCAAAUUCUCAAAACAGAUAGGAAUGUGAAGCAUAAUAAUAGAUGGCACCGAAACAAUCACCAAAUACUUAAGAAAAGUGGUAGAACUGUAGAAGGUUAAAAUUCCUGGCAUAGGCAACAAGCAACUGAACUUGAAUGCACAUGUUUUCAAAAUAAUCUCCAAGGACAAUACUUUUAAUUUCACAAAGUAUCACUUAUUUCUAGGAGAAGGAUUCAAGAUGUGAUUCAUUUGAAUCUUGAUACUGUCGUAUUAGAUGUGUAUUUACUUAUAAACCCAUCCAAAAUCCAAAAAAACUUUCAUUUAUUUGAAAAAGUUAACCUUGAUCAUAGUUCCUAACCUGCAUAUUGAAUGCCACAUCUGAUCUUGAAACAUAAGCAGCUCGAUCACCAAUUAUUACUUCAGUAACUCACACAUAAAUGCAAGGAAAAAGUGUAGUCACUUUAUCAUACAACUUUAGAGGGAUUGAUGCUUUGAUAUAAACAAUUUAUAUGUAGCAAAAUGCCAAGUAUAGAUUUAAUAGACUUAACAUGUAAGGCAUGAGUCUUUUACAACCCAGAUGGCUUUUCUUUAGAAGUCUCCAACUUUGAGCUAAGACCAACAUUCUUAACUUGGGAGGACUUUAGGGUACCCCUCCAAUCCAAGGAUAGAGGAGCUCCACCAAGCGAGGCCAAGAUCCUCUCAGCAGCCUUAGAAGACAGAGGAAGUAGGGUUACACAUAAGUAACAAUGUGUGUUACACAUAAAUUGGUCAAGACACAGGAAAGAAAGAACAUAUAGAAUGAAAGAGAAAAAAAUCAAGAUAACUAAGAAAGUCUAAACUAAAUACUCAUCCAAAUCCAAAGACACCAAAGAAUAUCCAUUAACCUAACUUAAUAUAUGAGGUUCAAGCAAGAUUAAAAGGGAACAUGAUCAAGAAAAACACACUAAAUUCAAUUAUAAGUAAGCAUGAGUCACACUUGAGCCAUAUCCAUUUUCCUAAGAUGAGCAUGACAAAUUCCAGCCUUAAUUUUCAAAUAUCUGUGAGCCUUAAUUUGAAAAUUAAGACUGGAAUUUGCCAUGCUCAUCUUGAACAAGUGUAACUCAUGCUUACUUAUAAUUGAAUUUAGUGCAUUUUUCUUGAUGAUGACCCCUUUUAAUCUUGUUUAAACCUCAUAUAUUAGGUUAGGUUAAUUAAUAUUCUUUCGUGUCUUUGGAUGAGUAUUUAGUUUAGACUUUCUUAGUUAUCUUGAUUUUUUUCUCUUUCAUUCUAUAUGUUCUUUCUUUCCUGUGUCUUGACCAAUUUAUGUGUAACACACAUUGUUACUUAUACACCAUAAUUUUCCCUCCAUGUAAUAUAUUCAUUAUAAAGCUUGGGUUUUGAAUGAGAUUUGCAUGUAAUGUUUUGCUGAUUUCCUAUUUUACGUAGAUUUUUGUUCUCUCUCCUUUUUAUUCUAAAUAAGAAAACUUAACUUUAUGGUCAUCUUGUAUAUAAUUUUUUUCCUUAUAAAAUGUCUUCUUUUCUUAAGAAAAAAGAUUAAUGUCAUAGUCUUUGUAAUCAUGUACAACUCUCUUUCUUCUCCAACCCCAUUUCUGAAGCACAUUAUAUCAUUAUUUUUAAGUUACUUUUUCCAUGUUUCUCAUUAACUUAAUUUCAUACAAUGUUGGAGUGCAAGAAAAUGUCUAAUAAUACAUGUAAUGACAGUGUAUGAAUCUUUCUUUUGACUUUGUUCUCAUUUUUAUGUAUUACUUAACAUUUCAUUUGAUUACUAGGUUCUCUUCAAUGAUUUGAAACCAGAGAAUCCAAGUGAGUAUGUUGACUUGGUUAUUGAGAUUGCUGAUUCAUUAAUGGGUCUUGAACAUUAUAACUCUGCAUUGAAUUACUAUUUGAUGUUGGAAGGAAAUAUUGGAAACGAAAAUGCAUGGUAACUCCUGCCCAUGUAUGCCAAUUAUUGGUUUAAUUUUAUACCAGUAAUUUGCUUAAUUAGGUGUGUCAGGGGCUGGAAAGUGUAUGAGAGGAAGAUGUAUAGGAGAGAAAGAGAAAAGGGCCGAACGGUAGAAGACAAGACAGGGACCGAACGAUAGAUAAUGGGGACAAACGGUAGAAGGAGGGGAACAAGUUGACCAAACGGUAGACAAGGGGGACGACCAGGCUGAACGGUAGAUAAGAGGAGACGACCAAGCCGAACGAUGGAAGGCGGGAAGCGAGUUGGCCGAACGGAUGGAAGCAGCAAGGAAGCAUCCUAACUGCCACCGCGGUUAGGAUGUGCGGGAAGUUAAUUAGAGUAACAAGAGAGAUAUUCAGCAAAAGAUAAUUAGAGUAACAAAGUCAUAUCUCAGUAUAUUAUUCGGUAUAAGUUAAAUAUAGUAAAUAAGGCUACAUGUAUUCGUAUCAGUCAAUUAAAUAUAUUCGUAUUAGACAAUUAUAGUAAAUAGGAUUAUUUUCUAAGAUUCAGUACGUUUUGGGAGAGAAUUAACUAGUAUAAAUAAAAAAGUCUAGGGUUUAAGGCAUGCUUUUGAUUUGUGAGUUUUGUAAGAGAGGUUAUGUUCUCAGGUAACUGACGGAGAUCCUGCUUGCAAUUAUUGUUUGCUUUCUUUGAUUCAGUUAUUUCCAUUCAAUAAAAGAGGUUUAUUCAGUUAUUGUCCAUUGUUCCUUGUUUGUGUGUUAGGAAGCUUUCUAGUUACAUCCCAUACUCAGGUACGCAAGAAUUGAUCUAACCUGCCAGAUCCGAUAGAAAGGAGUGAAAGGCUAGCCAGAUACAAAUUGAAAGGAGUAGUAGAUAUCAUGGAGGGAAGAAUGAAUGUGGUCGAAGUGAAACUAGAGAACAUGGAGCUUUCCAUGGGAAAUUUGGAGGUGACAAUGCAAAGGAGUUUCCAAGAACUGAUGAGGAUGAUAGAAUGACUAAACUAUCAACGAGAGGGGAAGCCAGAAGGAAGCCAAGGCUCUAUUAACACACAAUGAAGGAGGACGAAGGCGAGAAGGAUGAUGGAUCGAACGAUAGGAGAAAGUGUAGUCACUUUAUCAUACAAUAUCAUACAACUUUAGAGGGAUUGAUGCUUUGAUAUAAACCAUUUACAUGUAGCAAAAUGCCAAGUAUAAAUAGACUUAACAUGUAAGGCAUGAUGAGACUUUUACAACCCAGAUGGCUUUUCUUUAGAAGUCUCCAACCUUGAGCCAAGACCAACAUUCUUAACAUGGGAGGACUUUAGGGUACCCCUUCAAUCCAAGGAUAGAAGAGCUCCACCAAGCGAGGCCAAGAUCCUCUCAGCAGCCUUAGGUCAACUUGUUCCUCUCCUUCUACCGUCCAGUCUGGUUUUCCCCCCUUAUCUAUCUUUCGGUCCUGUCUUCUACGGUUCGACCCUCUUCUCUUUCUCUCCUAUACCUUUUCCUCCCAUACACUUUUCAGUCCCAACACACUUAAUUAAGCACAUUAAUCUAUAAAAUUAAACCAAUAAUUAGCAUACAUGGACAGGAGUUACCAUACAUUUUCGUUUCCAAUAUUUCCUUCCAAAAUCAAAUAGUAUUUCAAUGCAGGGUUAUAAUGUUCAAGACCCAUUAAUGAAUCAGCAACCUCAAUAACUUGCUUGCAUUCUCUGGUUUCAAAUCAUUGAAAAGAGAACAAUAUUUUUUUCUCUUUCAUUCUAUAUAUUUUUUCUUUCAUGUUCACUUGGUUAUUGAGGUUGCUGAUUCAUUAAUGGGUCUUAAUUAUUAUAACCCUGCAUUGAAUUACUAUUUGUUACUGUGCCUCCGGCGACCUCCCCUUCCUUUUGCUGGCUUCGUUUUCUCUGUAGUUGAAAGCUGAAUAACUGUAACACGGUGUAUUCCUCUCUUCUCUUGGCUGAAGACUUCCUUUUUUGUUGUUGCUUUUUCUCGAUGGCCAAUGCUCUCCCAAUCCAGCUGGAUGAUAAUUCCCAAUUCCCCUUUUGUCGUUCCCCUCUCAGCUCUCUUGCUCCACCUUUUUUCAGUAACCUUUUUUAUUAAGUGAUUCUGUUACGCAUUUAUUAAAAUUUGUUUGAGAUUACUGUAACGUAAUAAUAAGAUUCGAUGUUUUGUUUCUUUUCCGUUUUUAUGUCACCGGAACCCUAUAUAAGGAUUCCAGCCUUUGUAAUAAAGAAGAGAAGAAGAGAAUAAAUAAACAACAACAUUAUUACUUUGUAAACACUGUUUUCGUACCUUUUGAACGCGCGCUCUUCGAUUCCUUUCUCUUUUCCGAUCAUUUGCCGCAGUCGUCUGUCACGCCGGAGCUCUUCGUCCCCGUCGUCUUUCGCAUCGGAGCUUCGAUCAGAUUCCCAUUCUUCAUCCUCAUCUCGCUGCUGGCUCGAAGACUUUGG